rnacentral:rRNA from 1 species
UUCGUGGAUCGAUGAAGAACGCAGCUAGCUGCGAUAAAUAGUGCGAAUUGCAGACACAUUGAGCACUAAAAAUUCGAACGCACAUUGCGCCAUCGGGUUCAUUCCCGUUGGCACGUCUGGCUGAGGGUUGAAUUAUUGAAAGAGUUGCCAUUUAUGAAUUUUCAACAUUCAUAGAGAAUGGCAUGUAUAUUCGAUAAGCUAUGAUAGUGGACAAAUGAGAAGUACUAUCGUACCUUAUUUAGCUAAUCUAUGAUUCAAUAUCUCGUUGUAAUUUGCUUAAACGAGAUGAGCGAGAGAGAAUAUAUACAUCAAAA